UCAAUAAUGCACAGCAUGGUUCAACAAAGCCCAGUACUUCAGCUUCACGGACCCAAAGUCUAAUUUUCUGAAAUGUUAGGACCUGAAUGGAUGAACUAUUCCUGAAGCACUUAAAACAUAAUGAUGUGAUGUGUCAUUCUGAGAUUCGAGAGCCAUCUGAAUGAUCAGUAGCAGUGGCUGCUUUGGGUUGUGGGCACUGAAUUUCUAGAAUGUUUGUGCAUGUAGAUCCUCAUCUUAUUAAUACGUAACUUCCUUAACCGACACCCUUAUAAUAUGGAAAUGUACGUAAUUUUCAUUUCCAUAUAGUUUCCAUUUUUAUAAAUCAUGGUAUGUGCUGGUUAGAUAAUUUGAAUAAUGUACUGCAGGACUAUACCCUUUGUGGGACUUAAACCUGUAACGUGCUACCAGUAGGUUUUUUGUUCAUUUCUCUUUUGUCUCUUGAGCAACUGAAGAGGCAACCAAAUACAUUCCCUGCUAGAGACAACACUUCCAUGCCAGAGUGAAGUAGAGGAUGCCCAGCCUCUUAUAAAUGUACAGUAUUACAGCAAUAUCAAACUUAUAAAUCUAAAAACAUGUUCCAUAGUGAACCUCACACAUCGUGAUAAGCCAAACUGAUAUUCGUGUUCCAUGAAUCGCCUCUCAAAGUGAGCGGAAGGCCUCCAUUUUGAAAACUGCACAGUACAAUACGUGGUAUGGAAGUCACUCAUCUUGAACAAUGUUACUGUAUCCAUACAGUUGUUGUUAUAUAAUGUAUCUGCAGUUCUACAGAGACAUGAACAAUGCGGGGAUGUGUCAGCCUCUGGUCACAGUGGGGAUUUGCUUUCUUUUGUUGCUCUUCACAGGUCUAUUGUAGGCUUUAAAACCCACCACCGGUGUUCGUCGGUUGGGAGGGGUGGUAGGAGCAGGCAUUCGUCGAGUGGAAGUUCUUUUCUCACUCUUCACAGAUUCUGAAAACCGGAAGAGAGUAUUGGAUUUGUUUCAUGCGUUUUCACAUGUGCUAAAUGGUGCUCCCGCAUUCUGCAGAAUUCCAUGGCAGGGAGUGUAAUCGCUAGUCCAGUGGAACUGAAGGCGCACCCCCUUCUUAGUGGAGCAGAGCAGCAUUUCUGCGCUGUGUACUUUGGGUACCGUUCCAGCUUAGUUUUUAUUCAGUUGAGCUGCAGAACAUACAUUUUCAUGUGUACCAUGCAUGAAGCCAGCUGUGCUCGCUAUGGCGUACUCGUGUAAACAUGCAUUCUAAUGCCUUCCUUUCUCCCAGUUCCCUCUGUAGCACAUGUGUGCCACGUGUCAAAACCUCGCCUUGGUUCAUAAGUUUCCACUGACAGUCACAUGGGUUUAUUUUUUUCCUCAUGCUGUCUGACUCGUGAGCGAGGACUGAAUGGUCCUGUGGAGGGGAGAUUGGGAUGAAGAGGUUUGCAGUACUGUGAGCAGAGAAAGGAACUUAGAGACUUAUCUUCAAGAACACGGUCAUUCUCACUUGAGCCACCCCCUAGAGAUGGAUCACCUCAUUUUCCUGCAGAAGCUAUUUGAAGCUGGAAACAGGUUGCAAAGCCAGGCUCCAGGACUCCACCAAACUACAGUGAGAGCCAUUAUCUUGAAACGGAAAACACUUGAAACAGUGGGGAAUCUUCCCAAAAGUGCCAUAAAGUGCCAGUGCCUGCCAGAAUUUCUCCAAGGGUGCAGCGACAACUCAUCCAGGAAGUCACAAAAGAUCCCACUGAACAACAUCCAAAGAACUGCAGGCCUCUCUAGCCUCAGAUAAGGGGCUCAUGACAGACAUCCAGAUCUAUGGUGCCAUAAUGUAGAGGACUCUAAGGUGACAUCAUCAUUUGCUCAACUGCCACAGGAAAUGUUAGUGGCAACAGGACAGACUUCAUCCACAGAGCACAAGAAUGAACAAUCAGUUGCAUGGAGACUAUGUGGACACCUGUUGUUUACAGGGAAAAGAUGCAUUAAUUAUGUAUUACUUGGAAGUGAAAGAAAUACGCUAAAUUUGAUCAGUG